AUAACAUAAUACACUGCUUCAAUAAUUUAGGUGGGUUAGAUAACAUAAUACACUGCUUCAAUACUAUAGGUGAGUUAGGUAACAUAAUACACUGCUUCAAUACUAUAGGUGGGUUACAUAACAUAAUACACUGCUUCAAUACUAUAGGUGGGUUAGAUAACAUAAUACACUGCUUCAAUACUAUAGGUGGGUUAGAUAACAUAAUACACUGCUUCAAUACUAUAGGUGAGUUAGAUAACAUAAUACACUGCUUCAAUACUAUAGGUGAGUUAGAUAACAUAAUACACUGCUUCAAUACUAUAGGUGAGUUAGAUAACAUAAUACACUGCUUCAAUAAUAUAGGUGGGUUACAUAACAUAAUACACUGCUUCAAUACUAUAGGUGGGUUAGAUAACAUAAUACACUGCUUCAAUACUAUAGGUGAGUUAGAUAACAUAAUACACUGCUUUAAAUCAAAGUUUAUUUGUCACGUGCACCGAAUACAACAGGUGUAGACUUUACAGUGAAAUGCUAACUUACAGGUUCUAACCAAUAGUGCAAAAAAGGUAUUAGGUGAACAAUAGGUAAGUAAAGAAAUAAAACAACAGUAAAAAGACAGGCUAUGUACAGUAGCAAGGCUAUAAAAGUAGCGAGGCUACAUACAGACACCGGUUAGUCAGGCUGAUUGAGGUAGUAUAUACAUACUAUAGGUGAGUUAGAUAACAUAAUACACUACCUGACCAAGUAUGUGGACACCCCUUCAAAUUAGUAGAUUUGGCUAUUACAGCCACACCCAUUGCUGACAGGUGUAUAAAAUCCAGCACACAGCCAUCCAAUCUCCAUGGAUAAACAUUGUCAGUAGAAUGCCAAAACUGAACAUUUCCACAUGGCCCCGUCAUAGGAUGCCACCUUUCCAACAAGACAGUUCGUCAAAUUUCUUCCCUGCUAGAACUGCCCCGGGCAAAUGUAAGUGCUGUUAUUGUGAAGUGGAAACGUCUAGGAGCAACAACAGCUCAGCGUUGGUGGCCACACAAGCUUAUAGAACGGGACCGCCGAGUGUUGAAACUCAUAGUGCGUAAAAAUUGUGUGUCCACUGUAAAGUUUGGUGGAUGAGGAUUAAUGGUCUGGGACUAUUUUUCAUGGUUCUGGCUAGGACCCUUAGUUCCAGUGAAGGGAAAUCUUAAAUCUACAGCAUACAAUGACAUUCUAGACGAUUCUGUGCUUCCAACUUUGUGGGAACAAUUUGGGGAAGGCCCUUUCUGGUUACAGCAUGACUAUGACCCCGUGCACAAAACGAGGUCCAUACAGAAAUGUUGAGAUUGGUGUGGAAGAACUUGACUGGCCUGCACAGAGCCCUGACCUCAAAUUCAUCAAACACCUUUGGGAUGAACUGGAACGCCGACUGCGAGCCAGGCCUAAUCACACAACAUCAGUGCCUGACCUCACUAAUGCUCUUAUGGCUGAAUGGAAGCAAGUCCCCGCAGCAAUGUUCCAACAUAUAAUGGAAAGCCUUCCCAGAAGAGUGUAGGCUGUCAGAGGAGUAAAGCUGGACUAAUUCCAUAUUAUUGCCCUUGAUUUUGGGAUGUUGGACGAGCAGGUGUCCACAUACUUUUGCACUGAACAAAAAUAUAAACGCAACGUGUAAAGUGUUGGUUUCAUGAGCUGAAAUAAAAUUCCCCGAAAUGUUC